GGAAAACAACUAGUCUCCUAUAUAUAAAAGGGUGUGGUUUCUUACCUAUGUAUUGUUUCUUGUGAUACUAAAAAAAAAUGGGAAAAAACUUAUUUGUGUUGAUGUUACUCUUUGCUCUCUUUGCUACUGAUGAGACUUUGGUGACUUUGACACAAGCAAAGAUGUGUGAAACGACAAGUCAUGCAUUUAGUUGUGCGAAUGAUGGGCAAUGUAAUAGCUCCUGUGAAAAGAAAGGAUUCAUUAGUGGCAAAUGUGAUGGUGUUCGUCGUCGUUGUACGUGUUUCAAGCAGUGUGUUUGAACAUAAUAUAUUUUCUGUAAAACUAUAUAUAAAACUAUACUUAAUUUGGUGUAUGCCAUCGAUCAUGUAUUGAGAGAAUAAAUUUAUAUAGACUUAGUAUACACAAUCAAGAUUAUUAACAUGUU